rnacentral:rRNA from 1 species
AACGCGAAGAACCUUACCUACUCUUGACAUCCUGCGAACUUGGUAGAGUCCUACAAGGCCUUCGGGAACGCAGAGACAGGUGCUGCAUGGCCCUUGUCAGCUCGUGUUGUGAAAUGUUGGGUUAAGUCCCGUAACGAGCGCAACCCUUGUCCUUAGUUGCCAUCAUUUAGUUGGGGACUCUAAGGAGACUGCCGGUGACAAACCGGAGGAAGGCGGGGACGACGUCAAGUCAUCAUGGCCCUUACGAGUAGGGCUACACACGUGCUACAAUGGCAAGUACAGAGGGCCGCGAAGCCGCGAGGUGGAGCUAAUCUCACAAAGCUUGUCGUAGUCCGGAUUGGAGUCUGCAACUCGACUCCAUGAAGUCGGAAUCGCUAGUAAUCGCAAAUCAGAAUGUUGCGGUGAAUACGUUCCCGGGUCUUGUACACACCGGG